rnacentral:snoRNA from 1 species
CCACCUGAUGAACUCUUAUAUUUCGCUGUGUUCUUACCGAGUUUUUACUUUGAAGAUCAACUAUCAUCUUGGAGAACUGAUCC